AAUCAACGCUGGCGGCGUGCCUCAGACAUGCAAGUCGAACGAUUAAAGCUCUCUUCGGAGAGUGCAUAGAGUGGCGCACGGGUGAGUAACACGUAAGUAAUCUACCUUCGAGUGGGGAUAACGUCCGGAACGGACGCUAAUACCGCAUAAUGCAGCGGCAUCGCAAGAUGACAGUUGUUAAAGGAGCAAUUCGCUUGAAGAGGAGCUUGCGGCAGAUUAGCUAGUUGGUAAGGUAAUGGCUUACCAAGGCUACGAUCUGUAACCGGUCUUAGAGGACGGUCGGUCACACUGACACUG
rnacentral:rRNA from 1 species